rnacentral:misc_RNA from 1 species
UCUGUGAUAAGAACAAGACGAUGUAAUUGACAAGGCUGUGCGUAAAUCUUCUAAUAGUCGUCUCAUAAUUAAAGCUCGUCUCGAGAGUUUAAAUACAAGUUCUUUGGAAUUUAUGUUACGACACAUAUCGGUAGGGAACAAUGUGAGAAAUUUGACGUCGACUAGGUCAACGAAUUCUGUGUCACGCUGAUUGCCCACGAUAAUAGUGAAAUUUUUAUUACAAGAUACAAGAUGUUUUACGAUUCAGUUCAGCGAGCUGAACGCGUCUAGAACGUGUCUGGACGUUUUCCUUCAAAUCAGGAAACGUACUAAUUACUUCCAUCAAAGUCGGGCGGCCACGAGCCUGCUUGAAGGGAAAAAAUGCGAAAAGGAGAAAAUAAAAGGGAGAAGAAAAAUGAAAAAAGAGAAAAGAAAGAACGGAAAGAAUGAAAGAAUCGGAGAGAAACGAAGAACACGAGAUAUGCCUGGUGAUUAAAACCAGCGAGCCGACCGACACACGAAACACUGACAGUUCUGACAGUCGACAGGAUUGUGGGCGGUGAGAGGCGUGAGCCCCUUCUGGCGCAAUGGAAAUUCGCAAGAAAAUAAAAUAACCACCGCCCUCCCCUUUAGCCCGCCCUUUGUAUCUGCCGAGAAGAAGCGUCCCUAAUUGAUCCCAUUUCGUGUCAUGCCACGAGAUUCGCUGCUGCACGUUCUACCACAACUUCUCGGGAUCCUUUAUCUUCCAGAUAAACACCCGUCGUUUAAAAACUACUAAAAAGUUCUAGAGAGAGGUUUAUACAUCAUACUUUUAAUGCACGUGGAACGAAUGUGAAUAUCAUUAACGUGUUUACAUUCUGUGCAACGUAAGUAUAGUGCUUGAAGGUACGCUUCUUCUUAGUAGGAGAUUUAAGAAUGGAUUCCAAAAUUUUUACAAAUUUUGGUUAAAGAGAUGCAAAUGCAAAUAAAAUGCACGGAAUAUAAAAUAUCCGAAUAUCCUUAUGAUAUUUAAUCUUUUUCACUCCUCGACUCGACAUCAGUUUUUAUCUGAGGAGCUCCUUUGUCGAGUUCCACUCGACAUUCUUUCAUUCCCACCUUUUUUGUGAAACGUGCGAAAGAAAACCAGGAUUGCAUCCUGGAAAUUGUUUCAAGAUAUAUCAUAUACUUAAAAAUUACAAAAUACAACAAUAGUGUGAAUAAAACUGGUAUUUAAAUGAAUUUGUUUCUUCCUUUAUUUAUUUAAAUUGUCUUAUUUUUUAGUUAAAGUAAAUUUCAAAUAAAACACUUAAAAGCGUUGGCAGCUGCUGGUAACGAAAUUGAA